rnacentral:rRNA from 1 species
UGGGGAAUCUUCCGCAAUGGACGAAAGUCUGACGGAGCAACGCCGCGUGAGUGAAGAAGGUUUUCGGAUCGUAAAACUCUGUCUUUUGGGGCGAACGUGAGUAUGGUGAACAAUCAUAGUCAGUGACGGUACCAAAGGAGGAAGCCACGGCUAACUACGUGCCAGCAGCCGCGGUAAUACGUAGGUGGCAAGCGUUGUCCGGAAUUAUUGGGCGUAAAGAGCGCGUAGGCGGGAUAGUCAGUCUGUUGUAAAGUGCGGGGCUCAACCCCGUGAUCGCAAUGGAAACAGCUAUUCUUGAGUGCAGGAGAGGAAAGUGGAAUUCCCAGUGUAGCGGUGAAAUGCGUAGAUAUUGGGAGGAACACCAGUGGCGAAGGCGACUUUCUGGACUGUGUCUGACGCUGAGGCGCGAAAGCCAGGGGAGCGAACGGGAUUAGAUACCCCGGUAGUCCUGGCCGUAAACGAUGGGUACUAGGUGUGGGAGGUAUCGACCCCUUCCGUGCCGGAGUUAACGCAAUAAGUACCCCGCCUGGGGAGUACGGUCGCAAGACUGAAACUCAAAGGAAUUGACGGGGUCAUAGCUGUUUCC